CCUACGGGAGGCAGCAGUAGGGAAUCUUUCACAAUGGGCGAAAGCCUGAUGGCGCAACGCCGCGUGCAGGAUGAAGGCCUUCGGGUUGUAAACUGCUUUUAUAAGCGAGAAAUAUGAUGGUAACUUAUGAAUAAGGAUCGGCUAACUACGUGCCAGCAGCCGCGGUCAUACGUAGGAUCCGAGCAUUAUCCGGAGUGACUGGGUGUAAAGAGUUGCGUAGGUGGCAUAAUAAGUAGCUAGUGAAAUCUGGUGGCUCAACCAUUCAGACUAUUAGCUAAACUGUUAAGCUCGAGACCGUUAGGGGUAACUGGAAUUUCUAGUGUAGGAGUGAAAUCCGUAGAUAUUAGAAGGAACACCAAUAGCGUAGGCAGGUUGCUGGGACGGUUCUGACACUAAGGCACGAAAGCGUAGGGAGCAAACGGGAUUAGAUACCCGUGUAGUC
rnacentral:rRNA from 1 species